rnacentral:lncRNA from 1 species
GCCCAAACUUCAGUAUAACCUUGCAAUUGACUAACCUUGAUAAUGUCAACGUCGAUAUCAGUAUCUGCAACUGUAUGUUCCUGCAUUCGGCAAUACCAAUAAUGAUAGCUAGAAGCCUUUUAGGAUCGGACAACCCAAGGUUAUUGGAGUCAUCAAUGGCUACAUUGCAUAAACUGCCAGAUUUGAGAAAUAUCUACGUACCACAUUAUAAGUGAAACCCCGAAAUUGAUCGCCAUUAAUCAUCAUCCCUGCUUCACCAGCGAAAAAAAUCCUGCAGAAAUAUCCAGCCAUGGUACAUAUUCAGUUUCUUUGUAAUAUGCUUUUAUAGUAACUUGAACAUAAUGUGAAAUGAAUGAACCGUUUUUUGCAGGAGAAGCCUGGAGUUAUUGAAGGGAAAGUUGAUUGGAAGGGACGGCCAGCUCAGAAACACAAGCAUGGCGGAAUCAAGACAGCUUU